rnacentral:misc_RNA from 1 species
GAGUUCAUGCCCUUCGGGGUAGAUCUCCCACCCUUUGUAUACCAUACCUCUGUUGCUUUGGCGGGCCGCCUAGCUACUGGCUUCGGCUGGUAAGUGCCCGCCGGAGGACCCAAACUCUUGUUUCUAGCAGUGGCAUCUUCUGAGUAAUUUUAUAAAUAAAUCAAAACUUUCAACAACGGAUCUCUUGGCUCU